UACGUAGGGUGCGAGCGUUGUCCGGAAUUAUUGGGCGUAAAGGGCUCGUAGGCGGUCUGUUGCGUCAGGAGUGAAAACUCGGGGCUUAACCCCGAGCCUGCUUCUGAUACGGGCAGACUAGAGGUAUGCAGGGGAGAACGGAAUUCCUGGUGUAGCGGUGAAAUGCGCAGAUAUCAGGAGGAACACCGGUGGCGAAGGCGGUUCUCUGGGCCUGUACUGACGCUGAGGAACGAAAGCGUGGGGAGCGAACAGG
rnacentral:rRNA from 1 species